rnacentral:misc_RNA from 1 species
GAAACGCGAUAAGUAAGGAGAAUUGCAGAAAUCAGUGAAUCAUCGAAUCUUUGAACGCACAUGGCGCCUUCCAGUAUCCUGAGAGGCAUGCCUGUCCGAGCGUCGUUUCAACCCUCGAGCCCCCGUCGCCCGGCGUUGGGGAUCUGCCCAGGCCGGUCCCGAGAACCAGUGGCGGACCCGUUACAGGCCCUUCCUUUGCGUAGUAAUACUGCCUCGCCUCGGGAGCCGGCGGGCUUCCAGCCUCUAAACCCCUAGCAAGUCCGCCUCGGCGGCACCAAGGUUGACCUCGGAUCAGGUAGGAAUACCCGCUGAACUUAA